rnacentral:rRNA from 1 species
CAGUAGCCGCGGGAAUACGAAGGGUGCAAGCGUUACUCGGAAUUACUGGGCGUAAAGCGUGCGUAGGUGGUGGUUUAAGUCCGUUGUGAAAGCCCUGGGCUCAACCUGGGAAUUGCAGUGGAUACUGGAUCACUAGAGUGUGGUAGAGGAUAGUGGAAUUUCCGGUGUAGCAGUGAGAUGCGUAGAGAUCGGAAGGAACAUCUGUGGCGAAGGCGACUAUCUGGGCCAACACUGACACUGAGGCACGAAAGCGUGGGGAGCAAACAGGAUUAGAUACCCCAGUAGUCCCUGUCUCUUAUAC